rnacentral:rRNA from 1 species
CACGGAUAACAUACCGAAAGGUAUGCUAAUACGGGAUAAUAUAUUUGAGAGGCAUCUCUUAAAUAUCAAAGGUGAGCCAGUACAGGAUGGACCCGCGUCUGAUUAGCUAGUUGGUAAGGUAACGGCUUACCAAGGCGACGAUCAGUAGCCGACCUGAGAGGGUGAUCGGCCACAUUGGAACUGAGACACGGUCCAAACUCCUACGGGAGGCAGCAGUGGGGAAUAUUGCACAAUGGGCGAAAGCCUGAUGCAGCAACGCCGCGUGAGUGAUGAAGGCCUUCGGGUCGUAAAACUCUGUCCUCAAGGAAGAUAAUGACGGUACUUGAGGAGGAAGCCCCGGCUAACUACGUGCCAGCAGCCGCGGUAAUACGUAGGGGGCUAGCGUUAUCCGGAUUUACUGGGCGUAAAGGGUGCGUAGGCGGUCUUUCAAGUCAGGAGUGAAAGGCUACGGCUCAACCGUAGUAAGCUCUUGAAACUGGGAGACUUGAGUGCAGGAGAGGAGAGUGGAAUUCCUAGUGUAGCGGUGAAAUGCGUAGAUAUUAGGAGGAACACCAGUUGCGAAGGCGGCUCUCUGGACUGUAACUGACGCUGAGGCACGAAAGCGUGGGGAGCAAACAGGAUUAGAUACCCUGGUAGUCCACGCUGUAAACGAUGAGUACUAGGUGUCGGGGGUUACCCCCUUCGGUGCCGCAGCUAACG